rnacentral:misc_RNA from 1 species
UCCGAGUUGACCCCGGCAGUCUCCUACGAGUCCCCGGCAUUACCCGCUGGCAACAUAGAAUAAGGGUUGCGCUCGUUGCGGGACUUAACCCAACACCUCACGGCACGAGCUGACGACAACCAUGCACCACCUGUAUACGGCCCCGAAGGACACCAUAUCUCUAUGGCUUUUCCGUAUAUUUCAAGCCCUGGUAAGGUUCUUCGCGUUGCGUCGAAUUAAGCCACAUGCUCCGCCGCUUGUGCGGGCCCCCGUCAAUUCCUUUGAGUUUUAAUCUUGCGACCGUACUCCCCAGGCGGAAUGCUUAAAGCGUUAGCUGCGCCACCGAGGGAAACCCCCGACACCUAGUGAACAUAGUUUACGGCGUGGACUAC